AUACGGAGGGUGCAAGCGUUACUCGGAAUCACUGGGCGUAAAGCGCGCGCAGGCGGCUAUUUAAGUUGGAUGUGAAAGCCUACGGCUCAACCGUAGAACUGCAUCCAAAACUAUUUAGCUAGAGUGUGGGAGAGGAAGAUGGAAUUAGUUGUGUAUGGGUAAAAUCCGUAGAGAUAACUAGGAAUACCAAAAGCGAAGGCAAUCUUCUGGAACACUACUGACGCUGAGGCGCGAAAGCGUGGGGAGCAAACGGGAUUAGAAACCCUAGUAGUCC
rnacentral:rRNA from 1 species